UUGUUCAUCUGAUUGACAAUGUGUCAGUCAAAAACGUACUUACUCAUUUCAAGUGGCGAUAUCGUUUAAUAAAGAGGUUGAUAAAUGAUAAGUGAUAAUUGUUUAUGAAAAUCAAAAAUACUAUUUGAAAUCAUCCUAUAAGUGGUUUGACGUCAU